rnacentral:rRNA from 1 species
AGCGAACGCUGGCGGCAGGCCUAACACAUGCAAGUCGAACGAACCUUUCGGGGUUAGUGGCGGACGGGUGAGUAACACGUGGGAACGUGCCUUUAGGUUCGGAAUAACUCAGGGAAACUUGUGCUAAUACCGAAUGUGCCCUUCGGGGGAAAGAUUUAUCGCCUUUAGAGCGGCCCGCGUCUGAUUAGCUAGUUGGUUGAGGUAAUGGCUCACCAAGGCGACGAUCAGUAGCUGGUCUGAGAGGAUGAUCAGCCACAUUGGGACUGAGACACGGCCCAAACCCCUAGGGGGGGCAGCAGUGGGGAAUUUUGGGCAAGGGGCGAAAGCCUGACCGAGCCAUGCCGGGUGAAUGAUGAAGGUCUUAGGAUUGAAAAAUUUUUUCACCGGGGACGAUAAUGACGGUACCCGGAGAAGAAGCCCCGGCUAACUUCGG